rnacentral:rRNA from 1 species
AUUGAACGCUGGCGGCAGGCCUAACACAUGCAAGUCGAACGAGUGGCGGACGGGUGAGUAAUGUCUGGGAACAUGCCUGAUGGAGGGGGAUAACUACUGGCAACGGUAGCUAAUAACGAAUACCAUCGGCAGUGCCCCGAUGGGAUUAGAUAGUAGGUGGGGUAAAGGCUCACCUAGGAGACGAUCCCUAGCUGGUCUGAGAGGUUGACCGGCGACCCUGGAAUGAAGACACGGUCCAGACUCCUACGCGAGGCAGCAGUGGGGAAUAUUGCACAAUGGGCGCAAUCCUGAUGCAGCCAUGCCGCGUGUAUGAAGAAGACCUUCGGGUUGUAAAGUACUUUCAGCGGGGAGGCGUUACCCGCAGAAGAAGCACCGGCUAACUCCGUGCCAGCAGCCGCGGUAAUAC